UGGGGAAUAUUGCACAAUGGGCGCAAGCCUGAUGCAGCCAUGCCGCGUGUGUGAAGAAGGCCUUCGGGUUGUAAAGCACUUUCAGCGGGGAGGAAGGCGUUAAGGUUAAUAACCUUGGCGAUUGACGUUACCCGCAGAAGAAGCACCGACUAACUCCGUGCCAGCAGCCGCGGUAAUACGGAGGGUGCAAGCGUUAAUCGGAAUUACUGGGCGUAAAGCGCACGCAGGCGGUCUGUCAAGUCGGAUGUGAACUCCCCGGGCUCAACCUGGGAACUGCAUUCGAAACUGGCAGGCUAGAGUCUUGUAGAGGGGGGUAGAAUUCCAGGUGUAGCGGUGAAAUGCGUAGAGAUCUGGAGGAAUACCGGUGGCGAAGGCGGCCCCCUGGACAAAGACUGACGCUCAGGUGCGAAAGCGUGGGGAGCAAACAGG
rnacentral:rRNA from 1 species